rnacentral:rRNA from 1 species
CCUACGGGAGGCAGCAGUAGGGAAUAUUGCACAAUGGGGGAAACCCUGAUGUAGCGACGCCGCGUGAGCGAAGAAGUAUCUCGGUAUGUAAAGCUCUAUCAGCAGGGAAGAAGAUGACGGUACCUGACUAAGAAGCACCGGCUAAAUACGUGCCAGCAGCCGCGGUAAUACGUAUGGUGCAAGCGUUAUCCGGAUUUACUGGGUGUAAAGGGAGCGUAGACGGAAGAGCAAGUCUGGAGUGAAAGCCCGGGGCUCAACCCCGGGACUGCUUUGGAAACUGUUUAUCUAGAGCGCCGGAGAGGCAAGCGGAAUUCCUAGUGUAGCGGUGAAAUGCGUAGAUAUUAGGAGGAACACCAGUGGCGAAGGCGGCUUGCUGGACGGUAACUGACGUUGAGGCUCGAAAGCGUGGGGAGCAAACAGGAUUAGAUACCCCAGUAGUC